rnacentral:rRNA from 1 species
AUUGAACGCUGGCGGCAGGCCUAACACAUGCAAGUCGAGCGGGGUUUUCGGACCUAGCGGCGGACGGGUGAGUAAUGCGUAGGAAGCUACCCGAUAGAGGGGGAUACCAGUUGGAAACGACUGUUAAUACCGCAUAAUGUCUACGGACCAAAGUGUGGGACCUUCGGGCCACAUGCUGUCGGAUGCGCCUACGUGGGAUUAGCUAGUUGGUGAGGUAAUGGCUCACCAAGGCGACGAUCCCUAGCUGGUUUGAGAGGAUGAUCAGCCACACUGGAACUGAGACACGGUCCAGACUCCUACGGGAGGCAGCAGUGGGGAAUAUUGGACAAUGAGCGCAAGCCUGAUCCAGCCAUGCCGCGUGUGUGAAGAAGGCCUUCGGGUUGUAAAGCACUUUCAGUAGGGAGGAAGCGUUGUGUGUUAAUAGUACACAGCGUUGACGUUACCUACAGAAGAAGCACCGGCUAACUCUGUGCCAGCAGCCGCCGUAACAC